rnacentral:rRNA from 1 species
UUGAACGCUGGCGGAAUGCUUUACACAUGCAAGUCGAGCGGCAGCGCGGGGGCAACCCUGGCGGCGAGCGGCGAACGGGUGAGUAACAUAUCGGAACGUACUCAGACGUGGGGGAUAACACAUCGAAAGAUGUGCUAAUACCGCAUACGACCUGAGGGUGAAAGGGGGGGAUCGCAAGACCUCUCGCGUUUGGAGCGGCCGAUAUCGGAUUAGCUAGUUGGUGGGGUAAAGGCUCACCAAGGCGACGAUCCGUAGCUGGUCUGAGAGGACGACCAGCCACACUGGAACUGAGACACGGUCCAGACUCCUACGGGAGGCAGCAGUGGGGAAUUUUGGACAAUGGGCGAAAGCCUGAUCCAGCCAUGCCGCGUGAGUGAAGAAGGCCUUCGGGUUGUAAAGCUCUUUCAGCCGGAAAGAAAUUGCUUCUAUUAAUACUAGGAGUAGAUGACGGUACCGGAAGAAGAAGCACCGGCUAACUACGU